GAUGAACGCUAGCGGCAGGCUUAAUACAUGCAAGUCGAGGGGCAGCGGGAGUAGCAAUACUUGCCGGCGACCGGCGCACGGGUGCGUAACACGUAUGUAAUCUGCCCAUCACAGGAGGAUAGCCCGGAGAAAUUCGGAUUAAUACUCCAUAAUAGAAGAUAAAGCAUUUUAUUUUCUUGAAAGUUCCGACGGUGAUGGAUGAACAUGCGACUGAUUAGUUUGUUGGUGAGGUAACGGCUCACCAAGACUACGAUCAGUAGGGGUACUGAGAGGUUAAACCCCCACACUGGUACUGAGACACGGACCAGACUCCUACGGGAGGCAGCAGUAAGGAUAUUGGACAAUGGCCGCAAGGCUGAUCCAGCCAUGCCGCGUGCAGGAAGACGGACCUAUGGUUUGUAAACUGC
rnacentral:rRNA from 1 species